rnacentral:rRNA from 1 species
GGAGGCACAGUGGGGAAUAUUGCACAAUGGGCGAAAGCCUGAUGCAGCGACGCCGCGUGAGGGAUGACGGCCUUCGGGUUGUAAACCUCUUUCAGCAGAGAAGAAGCGAAAGUGACGGUACCUGCAGAAGAAGCGCCGGCUAACUACGUGCCAGCAGCCGCGGUAAUACGUAGGGCGCGAGCGUUGUCCGGAAUUAUUGGGCGUAAAGAGCUCGUAGGCGGCUUGUCACGUCGGUUGUGAAAGCCCGGGGCUUAACCCCGGGUCUGCAGUCGAUACGGGCAGGCUAGAGUUCGGUAGGGGAGAUCGGAAUUCCUGGUGUAGCGGUGAAAUGCGCAGAUAUCAGGAGGAACACCGGUGGCGAAGGCGGAUCUCUGGGCCGAUACUGACGCUGAGGAGCGAAAGCGUGGGGAGCGAACAGGAUUAGAUACCCUGGUAGUCCACGCCGUAAACGGUGGGCACUAGGUGUGGGCGACAUUCCACGUCGUCCGUGCCGCAGCUAACGCAUUAAGU